rnacentral:lncRNA from 1 species
CAUUCUCUAGCUGGACUGCAACAUUAUUAACUCAACUGGAAACCACUUGGCAGAAAAUCACACAGAAGAAGGCAUAUCAACUCUGUCUCCUGAAGUGGUCUCUGAUUCAAAUAGGAUCUCCAGAUCAUGGUCCUGCUAACAUACUACAUUCCAAACACAUUUAAAGCUUCACAAUGAUCAAAGAUGACAAUGUCAACACUCGCAAAAGAUGUUCUUUAAAGCAUUCUGCUUCUGCCACUAAAAUUCUUUACACCAACAGCCUUUAUUUCCAGCAUGAACUCUCAGCCUUACAGAGGAAACUUCAAUAUGGAGAAUAUUCUCCAAAAACUGCAGACAGUUAAUGCUUCAUUUCUGUCUUUUGAAGGGAAAAAACAAGCCUCUUCAACAUUCUUAGGAAGUAAAUAUACCAGAAAAAUUUACAAAGCUUCCCAAGAAAUCACCUGUGAAGUUUAAAAAUUGUAAAUCUCUAGCAUGCCAUAAAAAACAUUUCCCAUCAAAACAGCAAAUUUAUAUAGUAUUUACAUGCAUAUUAUGACCAAUUCAUAGGGCACAGUGCCAGUUACACUGAGACUGGCAGGAACUUUCAUGGCUUAACGAGAACAAGGUUUUCCCUCUAAAUUUUAGAGGUAGGAGUGUAGGAGAAGACAUUAUGGGACACAGGGAAUGGGGUGCAGCUGUGUAAGACAAACUAACAGCAGUGAAGGAGAACGGAAUGCUGAGGUGUAUUGGCCAACCACAAAACAGUAAAAGGGAACAGGUGUUAUGCAUGUGAGAAACAGGGUAUGGAAGGUUGCACUGGGGAAUAAUAAACUGCUGAUGCCUGAAACCA